rnacentral:tRNA from 1 species
AUGGCUCAUUCUUAUUUGCGGGAGUAGUUCAGUGGUAGAACACCACCUUGCCAAGGUGGGGGUCGCGGGUUCG